rnacentral:sRNA from 1 species
AGAGCCAGCGGGACCAACGACAGCGGCCCUCGACUGGUGUCCAUUGCGGGCACGCGACCGUCGGUGCGGAAUGGACAGCUGCUGGUAUCAACCGGGCUCCCAGCCCUGGACCAGCUCUUAGGUGGAGGUUUAGCCGUUGGAACAGUUCUUCUAAUUGAGGAGGAUAAAUAUAAUAUUUACUCACCUUUGCUCUUCAAGUAUUUCCUGGCAGAAGGAAUUGUCAAUGGGCAUACUUUGUUGGUUGCAUCUGCUAAAGAGGAUCCUGCCAACAUUUUACAGGAACUUCCAGCACCAUUACUUGAUGAUAAAUGUAAAAAGGAAUUUGAUGAAGAUGUAUACAAUCAUAAAACACCAGAAUCUAAUAUUAAGAUGAAAAUAGCUUGGCGUUACCAGUUGUUACCCAAGAUGGAGAUUGGACCAGUAUCAUCUUCAAGAUUUGGUCACUAUUAUGAUGCAUCAAAAAGAAUGCCACAAGAACUAAUUGAGGCUUCAAAUUGGCAUGGAUUUUUUCUUCCAGAGAAAAUAUCUUCAACUCUCAAAGUAGAACCCUGUUCUUUGACCCCUGGCUACACAAAGCUGCUUCAGUUUAUCCAGAACAUCAUUUAUGAGGAAGGAUUUGAUGGAUCCAAUCCUCAGAAAAAACAGAGAAACAUUUUAAGAAUAGGAAUUCAGAAUCUUGGCUCACCUUUAUGGGGAGAUGAUAUUUGCUGUGCAGAAAAUGGUGGCAACAGUCACAGCCUUACCAAGUUCCUCUAUGUUCUCCGUGGUCUUCUGAGAACCUCUCUUUCAGCCUGCAUCAUCACAAUGCCAACACAUCUGAUCCAGGUAAGAACUUUCCAGAAUUACUUUUUCAUAAUUCGUGGUGAUAUAGUAUGACAUUGUGGUUUUAAUUUGCAUUUACAUGAUAACUAAUGAUGUUGACCAUCUUUUCAUGUGCUUUCUGGCCAUUUGCAUGUCUUCUUUUGUCUGUCUUUUGUCCAUUUUUUAUUGAUAGUCUCAUUAUCAAUUUGUAAAGUUCCUUGAUAUUUUAGCUACAACUUGGUAAUAAUUUUCCUCCUAUCUAUGACUUACUUUUUCUAUUUUCUUAACAGUGUCUUUUGAAGAGCUGAAGUUUUCAAUAUUGAUGAAGUUUAAUUUAUAAAUUUUUUAAUGGUUAGUGGUUUACUCCUUCACACCUCCAGUCUUGACAGUCUUUUUCUUCUGUGUUUUCUUCUAAACAUUUUAUAGUUUUUUCUUUUACUAAUGAAUCAAUAUAUUUCCAUUUGAAUUUUUUCCACAGUUUUAGUUCAUGUUCUGAAACAGCUUUUAGUUUCUUUAAUUAAUAUUCUAAUGUAAAGUAUAUGUUAAUAUUAGUAUAGUUAAGUACAUAUUGUCUGCCUCAAGCAUGUGAUUUCAUGUAAUCUUAUAUAUCUAGUACAUUGUAGUCUCCAUAGAGGGAGGGCCAGAUAUUUAUACUUUUCUUUAUAGGCUUUAUGGUAAUAACAUAAUAUUAAACAUGGUUUUAAAAUUCUUAACACAGUACCUAGGCUUUUCCUAGAUAUUCAAUAAAUGUUAAAUGAAUAUUGAAUCUUUAUAAAGUUAUGUAAUCUUAGUAUCUCUGUUCCAACAUACCCAGACCCUACCUGCAAAUAGCAAAUUUAUUAAAAUGACAUUUAGUUACAUUCAUUAUAUAGAGCAUAUAUAGCAAAUAUGACUGAAAAGUGUGACAAAUGAAAAGUGAAUUUAGCUAGAUGCAGUGCCUUACACCUGUAAUCCCAGCACUUUGGAAGGCUGAGGCAGAAGGAUCACUUGAGGCAAGAAGUUCAGCCAGGAUAACAUAGCAAGUCCCUAUCUCUACAAAAAAUUAAAUUAAAUUUUAAAAGAAGUGAAUUUGGUCUCCUUGGCCAGUAGAAUUUAUUGAUUUAUAAUAGUCAGCAGAGGAUAACUCAGUUUUCCUUGAAGGGCUUUUUAUACAUUGUAUCUGGACCUAAAUUAUUAUUAUUAGCUUACAGUUGCAGACAUAUCAUAAGGAAACUCCUUUCUCUAAUCAUGCUAGACAUUGUACACAUACUUGUAUUGCUUUCAUUGUUAAUAAGUUAUCAUAAAGUUAGUACUCUAAUAAUAGUUUGGGUAGACCUGGUGAGCUUUUUAUGAUAAAUAAACAUGAAACAGACUUAUCAGAUACUGGUGAAAAUACUACUACUGAUACUACUACUACUACUGUGCUAUUACUACAACUAUUUAUUAGCCAUGUACUACAUCCCAAGCACUUUACAAGCAUUAUGUCCUUGAAUCUUCAGUGCUACCCUGUGAAACAGAUAGUUUUUACCUCUGUUUCCAUAGGGUCACCCAGUUAAUAAGUAGCAGGCCAGUGUUCUUCCCUGACUUCAAACCUUAUCAUCCUCACCAUUAGGUUAUAUGGUUUCACUAAUCAGCACAAAAUCCCUGCGAGAUAGCUGUGAUUUCACUGUUUGCAAAGACAACUAAACUGAAGUUAAAUGAUUGUCCAAUAUCCCAUAUCUAUUGUACAUUUUAAGCUGGUAUUCAAGCUCAGAUCUGCUUAACUCUAAAAUUUAAACUCUUUACCCUCUGUCACACUAUAUCUUAUGUGUCCUGAAUUAUUAACUACCUUUGAUGCACUAAGUUUCUAUUAGGAAAAAAAGUUAUUGGCUAACAUUGUAAUUAUUCCACAUUUAUUAAGAGAAAAUUAUUUUUGUAAAAUAUUUGAUAAAUUAGUA